rnacentral:rRNA from 1 species
UAUGGUUGCCAGCAGCCGCGGUAAUACGGAGGAUCCGAGCGUUAUCCGGAUUUAUUGGGUUUAAAGGGAGCGUAGGUGGACUGGUAAGUCAGUUGUGAAAGUUUGCGGCUCAACCGUAAAAUUGCAGUUGAUACUGUCAGUCUUGAGUACAGUAGAGGUGGGCGGAAUUCGUGGUGUAGCGGUGAAAUGCUUAGAUAUCACGAAGAACUCCGAUUGCGAAGGCAGCUCACUGGACUGCAACUGACACUGAUGCUCGAAAGUGUGGGUAUCAAACAGG